rnacentral:ncRNA from 2 species
AGCUCAUCCAGAGGGGCAGAGGGAACGGCCCGUUGAAGCCCCGGCAACCCUCCGUCCGGUACUCGCGACGCUGCGAGGCCCCGGACGGUGAUGGUGCCAAUUCCGUCCUGCGGCGAGAUGCGUCGCGGGGAAGAUGAGGA